rnacentral:sRNA from 12 species
UACUUGAAUCAAGCUUAUGACCAACUCGAUGAACAAAGUACGCCAGUGCUUCGAGGCGUAUGGUAUUUUCAGCUUUUCUUACUAAGGAUACUUUGUAAGUGAAUCUGUGUGUGUUCAGUGAUGGACAUCCAGAAGGCGGAAACCGCCAACAAAAACAUGCGUCGCAGAAUUGUUUGCAUCAAAAAGUACGGUCCUUCCGGGCGUAGCAAUAGACGCUCACUGUGUGAGAAUAACCCUAAGGGAUGCCGAUUUGGCGAUCGGUACGACAGAGGGAUGCCAAUAAUACGCCUUGCCUUGAGCCGGGAGAAAUCCUGUGUAUAACGGAAGUGGCCGGUAGUAGUAGCCGAAUGGCAUCCUUAACGGGACAGAAUGAUGAUCUGAAUGGACGGUGAAUUUGCAGGUAAUCAACCCUGUACAGGCAAGGGCGCAAGCUGGGGCUAGAAGUUUACGGCCGACGGGCCGUAGGCUCAGACUAGUCUUCCUGUUGACUGAAUAUUGAUGAAAAACAGCUAUGUACGGCGAAGGCCGGGUCAUAAGUUUGAUUGAAG